rnacentral:lncRNA from 1 species
GCGGCUCUUCCCCCUCCCCACCCCCGCCCCAGCCCCGGCUCCAGAAGUUGCCCCGCUUCUCCGAUGAUGUCCGGAGUGUCAGAGUUGCUUGAAGCAAUAAAGCGGCUGGACAACAGAGGAAGGAAAGCUGCUGACGGGACCUUGCCAAAAGCGCACCUGCGGCCGUGGAUGCUGAAAUGAAAACUGAAAUGUCUUGCCAAGAUGAAAACGGAGCCAGUUCUACGGUGGGAGUGGGAUGGAGGACCGAACGUCUUCACUGGGAACAAUCCUGGCUCCCCCUCCACGUCAUCCUGGGGCCACGCUUCCGGCCUGCCUGGCGCCAGCGCUGCGCUUAGGACGGAUCCCCAGGAAACCAAAGUGAAAGCAGGAAUCCGAACCGGCCAGUGGCGGGGUGUGGAUUCGAAGCGUUUUUGGCCAAGCUCCGAAGCCGUGUGGGAGUGUCAUUUUGCCUCCAUCUGAUGGUCUCCUGGAACAGAACUCUCACGCUGACCUCCGUGGACGUCCUCUGUUUCUACCCCGCCGCCCCAAGCGUUCAGAACGCGUGUUUACUUCAUUUGUCCUGACGGGCGCUGUAAUUACAGGCAGUUUGUUUCCUCUGCUGUAAUAUACGGUCUCGAGCAGGAAUAAAGUAACGUGGAAAAUUAACAUUGUGAUGUACUGUACGGUGGAAUAACACUAAAAACACUUAGCAGCGGGCGCACUGGAGGUGUUGUUUGUGUUGUGUGCAAGAGCUAUAAAGAUUUAAGUGGCUCUUUCUCAACUAUAUUUGCAUGAUUUUCGACUGCAGUAAAAUGAAUCUGAUCCGUCUCGGAG